GGACCGGGUGGACGGUGCACCAAAAAAUGUAUCGGGUGGGCCCAACGCAUUUCUCAGGCCCGGUUUCACCGCGAAACACCUGGUAACCCAAAAAAGUAAAAAUAGUUAAACACAUCAGCAAUCUCAACCAAGGACCAUUGGUCCAAAACCAGGGCGUUCAGGAAUCCCGAUCCAAUUUUACAGGAAAAUGGUGUAUUCAUCGCUAAACCUUUUAGGGACAAAAUUUAAGCGUAUACACUCUCCCUCUCCAUUUUUCCCUUUCUUCCUUUGAGCUUCUAUAUGUCGUUAUCAUUUAAGAAGAAGAAGAAGAAGAAGAAGAAGCAGUAUCACUAUUAAGGGGUUUCUCAAGCAAACAUCAAGAUGAAUAAUAUUAACAAUGGUCAAAGAAGUGCAACCUCAAAAGAUAAAGGGAAAAUGCUACAUAAUGACAAGGAGGUCUUAUGUUAGAUGGACAAAUGCUGAAGACGCAGGUUUAGUUUCAUGUUUAGUGGAUCUUGUUAAUAUGGGUGGAUGGAAACAAGAUGAUGGUCAAUUUAUAUCUGGCUACCAGCUUCAAAUAGAGAAGAUGAUGAAAGGCAAGAUUCCUAAUUAUCAAAUGAAAGCUAAUCCAUGUAUUGACUCAAGGGUUAAACUUUUUAGAUCAAAUUAUCAUGCAAUUGCUGAAAUGAGAGGUCCAAGAUGCAAUGGAUUUGGAUGGAAUGAAAGAGAUAAGUGCAUUACUUGUGACGAUGAAGUUUGAGAGAAUUGGGUUAAGAGUCACCGAGAUGCAGGAGGAUUGAGGAACAAACCAUUUUCUUUUCAUAAUGAAUUAGAUUAUGUUUAUGAAAAAGAUAGUGCUACAAGAGAAGGUGCCGAAAAUCCAGCCGAUGCAAUAGAAGAUAUUGAGUUAGAUGAGCAAGAAUAACAAAGUCAUUAUGAAUCAUGUCUCCCACCAAUUUUUAAUGGCGAGGUAGGUAAUGAGUAAGAAGAAACAAGUGCUAAACCUAUACAUGCAUUUUCUCAUUCUGUUUAAACAACACAUGUUGCACCAUCAAACACUGGAAAGUUAUUCAAGAAUUUUCUGGUGAAAUGGAUAAAUUAGUUAAUUUGA